UACGUAGGUGGCAAGCGUUGUCCGGAGUUACUGGGCGUAAAGCGUGCGUAGGCGGUGGUCCAAGUCUGGUGUGAAAUCUCCCGGCUCAACUGGGAGGGUGCGCCGGAAACUGGGCCGCUGGAGUAUGGGAGAGGCAAGCGGAAUUCCAGGUGUAGCGGUGAAAUGCGUAGAUAUCUGGAGGAACACCCGUGGUGCAGACGGCUUGCUGGACCAUCACUGACGCUGAGGCACGAAAGCGUGGGUAGCAAACAGG
rnacentral:rRNA from 1 species